AUUGAACGCUGGCGGCAGGCCUAACACAUGCAAGUCGAACGAGUGGCGGACGGGUGAGUAAUGUCUGGGAAACUGCCCGAUGGAGGGGGAUAACUACUGGAAACGGUAGCUAAUACCGCAUACCAUCGGAUGUGCCCAGAUGGGAUUAGCUAGUAGGUGGGGUAACGGCUCACCUAGGCGACGAUCCCUAGCUGGUCUGAGAGGAUGACCAGCCAGAGUGGAGCUGAGACACGGUCCGGACUCCUACGGGAGGCAGCGGUGGGGAAUAUUGCACAAUGGGCGCAAGCGUGAGGCAGCCAUGCCGCGUGUAUGAAGAAGGCCUUAGGGUUGUAAAGUUCUUUCGGUGGUGAGGCGUUAGCUACAGAAGAAGCAUCGGCUAACUCCGUGCCAGCGGCCGCGGUAAUAC
rnacentral:rRNA from 1 species